AAUGCUGAGGUUCUAAAGAGUUAGUUCUCUUGUUUUAUUCUGUAUCCUUCUUUCACAACUUCAGACUGCAAUUACUGCUCUGUUUUAGAGGUUGGAACAAAAACCUGUUUUGACUGAACUUACUCUUUCCCCCCCCUUUACCUUGAAUAAAGUGGGGAUUGGACUUCGUACUGUGUGGUAUCAAAGUGAAAGUGGCAUCCCUUUUGCUAAAUUGUUUUGCUACUACUUUGGGGCUUCUUGACCUAAGUGCUUUUUGCAAUGGGAAAUACACUAUUCAGUGCUAUCUUGCCCUUUAAGGGCAAGGUUCUCUGGUAUGUGAUAACUGGAAUCCAGAGAAAGUCCAGGAACACUUUCCAGUAGCAAGCAAAUCUGGAGACCUGCAUGUUUCAAUUAAAGCUCUAAACAAGGCCAGGAAAGCAGUCUGAAAUAUGCAGCAUGUAUACCACAAUCUUCCCGCAGUGUCUAAACUUAGAAAUCAAAGUAUGUGCUGAAAUGUUUUUAUCUGAAUAUUGGGACAUAAAUAGUGAAUUUUUUCUUUGAUGUGAAUUGCCAGCAUGUCUGUAAUAGAACUGAGUUCUCUGCAAAGUAUAAUACCAUCUAUUCAUAAAUAGGGUAAAUGAAGUCUGUUUUGCAGAAUACCUUAAUAAUUUAGGUAAUUCAGAUGCUAGCUGAGUUCCUGAUACCCCUACUUUCCCUGCGUCUGUCAGACUGCCAUGGGUUUUUUUCUAAGGUUAUAUUUUUUCUAAUCUGAAAGGAAUCUUCUGAGGUUAUUCAAAACAACUGUCUGUGCUUUUUUUUAUUUUCUUCUUUGAAUCAAAAUGGAAUUCUCAUCCUUUUUAGCAACUUCACACCUUGUCUAAUUUCAUGGUUUCUUUUGCUGCAGACAUGACUUUAGCAACCCUCGAUACUCUUCAAAUCCCUUGCUGAUUCUUCUCCAAGUGAGCUUUGGCUUUCUUGACUCUAUUCCUUCAUGCUGAGAGAGUGGCUCUGUAUUCCUCUAGGGUCACUUGCCACUCUUUCCACCUUGUGUGUUCGUUUUUAUGUCUUGAGUUUAGUCAGGAGCUCAUUGUUCAUUCUUGUCAGCUUUCUGCUACCUUUCCUUGAUUUCCCACGCAUCAUGACUGGAGAAGGUGACCACUGAAAAUCAACCAACUCCCCUGGACCCUUCUGUCUAGGACUUUGUGCAGCUAGGAGAAACACACUUCUCUUGCUAAAUUCUUCUGUAUUCACAGUGCACAGUAAGUCCAAGAGGGAAGAAAAAAAAAAAAAAACCAACAAAAAGAAAACAGUUGGAUUUCAUACUAACUGUAAAAUGAAUGUUAAAAUUGUUAAUGUUCAGACAAUUAUCUAUUAUUUAAAUACAUCUUGGGGCUGCUAUGUCAGUAUUUCUAAGCGUAUUUGAGAAAUUAUGGAUGCUGUGGUGGUGGUGGUGGUUCUUUUUUUGCAAAUCUGUGAUGUCCACGUAGUGUAUCAUUUUUGGUAGAUUAUGUAUACAAUAACUUUAUAAAUCUUUCUGUACUUGCUGUUCUCUUUUUGAUAGAUACCAUACCUGGACUAAGCAAAUUUAUCUUCUUGAGGAAAAAAGAAAAGGCACCUUAAAUAAAACCAGUUCUACUUCACAUUGAUUUUUUCAGUGUCUUCUAGGAGUAUGGUCCAGAUCCUUUUAUUCUUGCCCAUUCUGUGUACCUGUAAUAAGUUCUGAUGAAAAACCAAACAGUUUUUCUUUAAUAUUUCUUACUUAAAAAAAAAAGUUUUCUCUUUUUUUUUUUAAUGACGAGGAGGAAGAAGGAGUGCCAACUUUAAGAAAUAAGGUGUCCUACUUAUUGGGGGCUUUUAUUCGGUUUUGUUUUUUUUUUCUUCCUAGAUAAAAAUGGCUACCCAAAAACAGGAAUGCGUGAAUAAAUUAAACAGUAUUCUAAUGGGUGAGACCUUGUACAUCAUCUUAUUCUUCUCUUGCCAGUGUGGAAUUAUUCUCUCUGUGCUACUUGGAAAUGCAGUAUCUAAUUACAAAUUUGCUGAGGUAAUGUCUUUUCCAUAAUUCCCUAUUAUUUUAUCUAUCAUAAUAUAUGAGCAGGUACUCAUUUGACAGUAAUUCUUUUUAAUGACUAGGACACUAAACAAGAACUCUCCCACAUGCAGCUGUGAUCAUGCCACAUUUGUUUGAGGUAAUGCACAGAAAAAAAUGUGGUCCUGUGUAAGAUCUUUGCUUUGAAAAGGCGGAAGAGGAACAAGUUCAGAGACCCUAGACUCAUCUUUGACCUUUAACAUAAAAAAUAGGCAGAUUUUUCAGUUCACUUUCAAAUUUUUUGGUUUCUGGAAUAAGCAGUGUCACAUUAUCAAACACUGAAGCUAAGAAAGCCAGAAACUACCAUUUAGAAAAGUGUAACAACAGCUGACAUUUUCAUAUGAAAAGCACUUAUGUAAAGAAAAUGUCUAACCAUAACUCUUGGCAGCAGUGAAAUGUAGUUUCAGAGCUAAGAUCAACUUGCUCUUGGGAAAUUCAGAAUUUUUGCUGUGUGAGUGCAUCCAUCAGUGAUUUUGUAAGUUACUUUAAGAAAGUCAUUAUCAUUUAUUUAUCAAGUAACAGCAAGGUUAGCUGUAGCUGCUCAGCACUGGCAAAUAGAUCACACAUCACUGGGAGUGGAAAAGAGGGAAUGUGGAAGUCACCAGGUGCAUGGAGCAGACACCAGAAAGGGGUGGUGGGGAAGCCACCAACAAUGGUCUCUUGGAGCUCUUUAAUAAUUUUGUCCAAGACCCUGUACUGAAGCAGCAGUUUCUCAGGUUAGGGAAUAAAGAAUUGUCUCUACUCCAUUUUUACUUGUACUCAUCUAUACAUCUAAAUGCUUGUGUUUUAAGGAAAUACUUUCAUACGUAGAUACAUGGAGACCUUUGUGCCAUAGUAUAGAUAAAGACCUUUCAAUUGAAGGACUUCAUAACUUUGGGGUUUUUUUCAUUAUACAUCAUAAUAUAUUCAGUGAUUAAAAUAAAUUCUUCCUACUUGAUGUCAACUUGCAACAAGAAAUUUGAUUGCAUUGUGAGCUGUACGAGCUGGAUAAACUCUUCCCAUGAGCUUGCAAGGGAGAAAAGAUGAUUCAUUAAGACACAAGCUGUUCUGUCUUUUAGGACAUGAUUCCGUUAUCAAUUCCUUGCACACUGUUCAUGUUCAAAACAAACGGAGUGUCCCCAGAAUAAGUUUUGGUUUAUGUUAAAGCUCUUGCACAGAUGGUGUUUGACAGACUAUUUGACAAGACAGGCAUCCUAAUGGGAUGACAGCUCUGGAAUUCCAGUUGUUUGAGAAAAAGAGCUCUGUGGCCCGGGUGGUGCGGUGUUGCUUCAGGCAUUCCCUUUGUAGGUGAUAAAUGUUAUGGCACAGCUGUUUGCCCCAUGCAGAGAUGCACGGCUGUGCUACUCUGGGAAAGGAGUUUAUCUCUGUGAUGCUGUUUCAGUAUGUUAUGCUGCAGAUUUUCACAACCUUUGUAUUAAGCCAGCAGAGGGUACUCUUAAGCUUCCAAGAGUAAGUUGUUACAUUGGAUGCUUCAUGAGGUUACUGCUUCAAAGAGAGUUAUGGUACUGAGGGAAGGAGCUGGAAAUGCGAGCUCUUAAUUGUAUGAGCCUCAUUGCACUUAAGUAAAAGUGUUGAAUAGGUCAUAUACUUUAUGAAUAAACCUACACUGCUUUCUUUCCAAAAGCACAAACCAAGAUCUUCUCAGUAUAAUAUAAUCUUAGAAAUGGAGAAAUUCAGGUUUGAAGGUACUUCAGGAUGUUUCUCAUCCAACCACCUGCUGAAGCAGGGUCGCUGUGAGAUCUGAGUACCUGCCUUACCCACUCCUGAACACCAGUAAGGAUGGAAACUGCACAUCGUCUUUUGGCAGCUAUCAUCACAGUCAAAUUGUUCUUCUGUGUAUUCAGGCUGAACCCAUCUUGUUCAAACUUACACCUGUUUUCUCUUGCCCUCUUGCCAUACAUUGCUGUGAAUCCUUGAUCUACUGGCUCUGCUCCCACUAAUGCAUUCCAGGAGGCUUCUGGCCCUCUCUUCUGUGAGGGUGCUGCUGUCUCACGUUCAUCUUGCUGCCCACCAGACCCUCAGGGCUUUUUCCACAGAGUUACUCUCCAGCUAUCAGUCCUCAGCCAGUAUCACUGCAAGGGGCUCUUCCUUCCAAAGUGCAGUAAUUUGGGUUUGUUCUCUCUGAGUUCCAUAAGUCUCUGUCAGACCAUUCCUCCACCUUGGCUAGAUCAAAUUUUCUAUUAAUUCUUAUAUUUACACUCCAUUUUUAUUCAAAACAACAGUUCUGCUACCUUUAAUAGAACAAAUUUAAUAGAGUGAAUACUCUAUUAUACAUAUAUAAAUCCUAAAACUUUGUAGACUUGUGGAUUACAGACUUGUACACAAAGUUACUACAAAUAAUGCUACAAAAUUACAUCAUAGAUUCUAACCUUUUCAGUAAAUAAUAGAGGAACAGAGUUUUAUCUUUUCUUUGGAAAAUAAUACUUUGAGAAGAAAAAUACAUAGCUUACAUAUCUCUCGUGCAAUGUGAUAGUCAAGUACAAAGUACAAAUGCACAUUUCACAAUUCUUGACAGAGUGAUGUAAACCUCAUUAGAAGUAUGACAUUUUUAAAGGCUCAAAUCUUUUUCUAAAAACUGUAUAUAUUUAUGUCAUUAUUCAUAGGUACAAAUAGAGAUUAUUUAAAGCACAACUUUCUCCUUCACUAUUUUUCAGUCUUUCCCUCGGCCAGUCAGCUGUAUCACCAGUUUUUCCUCCUGCCUACAAAUGUCUAUUUUCUGCAGAUCACAAGCAGAGCAAUGAGGUGACCAGAAACACCUGGAACCUCUUCAGAAUUCUUGAUGCCACAUCUGGAGCUCCCAGGAUUGUUAAAGCACCGAGACCAAUGGAACCGCUUCUAUUAUUAAUUUACAACCUGCACUUAGCCUCUAGUUGGUGAAAAAAAUAAAGUAGUCUGUCACACUGCA